UGGCCAUAGACUUGGAGAAGGAACUGGCUGGAGAGAACUCUCGCAAUGAAACUGUCAGCACAGAUGCAGCAGAAAAGAGAAAGCAGAGUUCCUCCAGUCAAGGGGACCAGAGGAAAGAGUCAGAGGAAGUCCCAGAAAGAGGACUGAAGAGGAAGAAGGAGCCUGACGACCUCUGCAGUCUGCAUGGAAAGGAGGUACAACUCUUCUGUCAAGAAGAUAGCGAGCUGGUGUGCUAUGAAUGUCGAAAGAACCACAAGGCUCACAACUUCAGACCAAUCCGUACAAUAGUGC